AUUGUGGAAGGGGCAACUGCACCGAAUACUCCCUUCAUCACUUCUUGCUCCCAAGACUCCAGAGAUGCUCCGGGAAAGGCAUCGAUGAUUGUUCCGCAUCCGGCGCUAAUGAGCGGAAGCGCUCCAUCUGAAAACGAGACAGAGCAUCCGCGAUGUCAUUAUUAAUGCCAGGUACGAAUUUGGCUGAAAAAUAUAUAUUCUGCUCAAGACACAGGAGGACGAGGGACCGUAACAAGUUUCCCACCCUGGUGGAAUGCGCGGACUGUCUAGAAAGAACCGCUACUACCGCCUGGUUAUCUGUGUUGAAACAAACCCUAUGAUUGCGGAACUGCUCUGCCCAAAGAUGUACUGCUACUACAAUGGGGAAAAAUUCCAAAAAUGUAAGGUCCCGAGUAAUGGGCUUGCCCUGCCAGUCUGCCGGCCACUUUUGGGCACAGCACUGGCCCCUGAAAUAAACUCCAAAACCCAAGGAACCUGCCGCAUCUGAUUGGACUUGGAAGUUGGCAUUGAGUGCCAUGGAAUCUUGCCAUAAGGAUAUACCGUUGUACCUGUCGAGGGAUUAUAGCCAGACUCCCAGAUCCUGCUUAACUUCUUUGGAGAGGCGCACCCUAUGCUGUGGUGCCCUGAGACCUGCCGACAAUCUGGCCAGGUGGCCACAAAAGGGCCGACCUGGCGCCACUACCCUACAAGCGAAAUUUAGGUGACCUAGCAGGGAUUGAAUUUGCCUUAGGGUAACCUUCUUUAGGGGCAAUAGCUGUUGUAUCAGUGCCUUAAGGGCGAACAGUUUUUCCUCGGGCAACCUAGAUGUUUGUGCCACGGUGUCUAACUCAAUGCCCAGAUAGACCAAGGAAGUGGCUGGACCCUCCGUUUUCUCGGCGGCCAGUGGCACCCCCAGCUCCCCUGUCAGGGCUGUGAAAGCCUCCAAGAGGGCGGAGCAUCGUUGCCUAUUAUCUGCCACCAAAAUAAAGUCGUCCAGGUAAUGCGACACGCCCACCGACCCUGUCCUGAAGCGUAGGGCACAAUCGAGAAAUGUACUGAACGACUGAAAGGCUGAGCAAGCCACAGAGCAGCCCAUGGGCAUUGCUUUGUCAAUGAAAUACGCUCCCUCAAAUCUAAAGCCCAACCAAUGGAAGUCAGCUGGAUGGACGGGAAGAAGGCGGAACGCCGACUCGAUGUCACAUUUGGCUAGAAGUGCCCCUUGCCCAAAUCUGCGAAUCAUUUUAACUGCUUGGUCAAAGGAGGCGUAUUUCACAGUACAAAGUUCCUGGGGGAUCGCGUCAUUGACCGAGUCAGCUGGAACGGGGCAAAGAGGGUGGUCCCCGGUCGUGCCUGGCCUUAAAUGGGCCAGGCCACGCCUCCCUAGCCCGCCGAUUGGCGGGCAGGGUUGCAGGCACGCCCGGGGAUUCCCUUGUUCUCGCGGGGGCAAAAAGGCCAGCCCCCGCGUGUGUGGGAGGGGGUAGCCCGCAACCCCCUCUCCUCUCCAGUUCGGAAAUGGCUUUUAUUUCCUUGACAUCUGAUGGGAGGCUGUUGCACAGCGAGGGCGCCACUACCAGGAAGGCCCUCUGCCUGGUUCCUUGUAACCUCACUCCUUGCAGUGAGGGAACCGCCAGAAGGCCCUUGGCGCUGGACCUCAGUGUCUGGGCAGAACGAUGGGGGUGGAGAAACAGGGUUCAAAUCCCCCACUUGGCCAUGAAGCUCACUGGGUGACCUUGGGCCAGUCACAGACUAACUUACACAGCAAGGCUGUGAGGAUUUAAUGAAGAGGGGGGAAACCAUAUACACCACCUUGAGGGGUGGAAUAUAAAUGCAACAAACAAACAAAGGCCCUAACCCAGGGGUCAGCAAACUUUUUCAGCAGGGGGCCGGUCCACUGUCUCUCAGACCUUGUGGGGGGCCAGACUAUAUUUUGAAAAAUAUAUAUGAACGAAUUCCUAUGCCCCACAAAUAAUCCAGAAAUGCAUUUUAAAUGAAAGCACACAUUCUACUCAUGUAAAAACACCAGGCAGGCCCAACAAAUAACCCAGAGAUGCAUUUUAAAUAAAAAGACACAUUCUACUCAUGUAAAAACACGCUGAUUCCCGGACCGUCCACAGGCCGGAUUUAGAAGGCGAUUGGGCUGGAUCUGGCCCCCGGGCCUUAGUUUGCCUACCCCUGCCCUAACCUGAAACAGAAUUGGCAAAAGAAGUAUGGCAGCCCUGUUCUGCUGCAAAUGGGACACUGGUGUUCUUUUGUGCAGUAGAAUAAAUUACACACUGUUUCAUGUUGCCUGAUGACUACAACAGAUAAUGUUGAAGAAGUAGCUUUGUUCUGCAGCCUUGUUAAUUCUUUUGGGAAGUUUUGAUGUGCUGCAGCGUAAUAGGUGUGAACUACCUUAGAUUUUGCAUUUAGUUGAGUUUGUAAAAUGUAAAAACCGGGUCUGUUCAUGAAAUAUUCAGGUAAGGAAGUGCAUGCUGUGUUGUGGAAACUAUCUUGCUUCUGUUUGAAUUUUUCGAAUGAUCUAUUAUAAAAGCAUAUCUC
rnacentral:lncRNA from 1 species